ensembl:lncRNA
AGACAUGUUAGGCAAUGGGACGGUCAGUCAGUCAGUCAGACAUGUUAGGCAAUGGGACGGUCAGUCAGUCAGUCAGACAUGUUAGGCAAUGGGACGGUCAGUCAGUCAGACACGUUAGGCAAUGGGACGGUCAGUCAGUCAGAUACGUUAGGCAAUGGGACAGUCAGUCAGUCAGACACAUUAGGCAAUGGGACGGUCAGUCAGUUAUACAUGUUAGGCAAUGGGACGGUCAGUCUGUCAGUCAGACAUGUUUGGCAAUGGGACGGUCAGUCAGUCAGUCAGUUAGACACGUUAGGCAAUGGGAUGUUCAGUCAGUCAGUCAGACAGACACGUUAGGCAAUAGGACGGUCAGUCAGUCAGUCAGACAUGUUAGGCAAUGGGACGGUCAGUCAGUUAGACACGUUAGGCAAUGGGAUGGUCAGUCAGUCAGUCAGUCAGACACGUUAGGCAAUGGGAUGGUCAGUCAGUCAGUCAGACACGUUAGGCAAUGGGACGGUCAGUCAGUCAGUCAGACAUGUUAGGCAAUGGGACGGUCAGUCAGUUAGACACGUUAGGCAAUGGGAUGGUCAGUCAGUCAGUCAGUCAGACACGUUAGGCAAUGGGACGGUCAGUCAGUUAUACAUGUUAGGCAAUGGGACGGUCAGUCUGUCAGUCAGACAUGUUUGGCAAUGGGACGGUCAGUCAGUCAGUCAGUUAGACACGUUAGGCAAUGGGAUGUUCAGUCAGUCAGUCAGACACGUUAGGCAAUAGGACGGUCAGUCAGUCAGUCAGACAUGUUAGGCAAUGGGACGGUCAGUCAGUUAGACACGUUAGGCAAUGGGAUGGUCAGUCAGUCAGUCAGUCAGACACGUUAGGCAAUGGGAUGGUCAGUCAGUCAGUCAGACACGUUAGGCAAUGGGACGGUCAGUCAGUCAGUCAGUCAGACAUGUUAGGCAAUGGGACAGUCAGUCAGUCAGACACGUUAGGCAAUGGGACAGUCAGUCAGUCAGACACGUUAGGCAAUGGGACAGUCAGUCAGUUAGUCAGUCAGACACAUUAGGCAAUGGGACAGUCAGUCAGUCAGACAUGUUAGGCAAUGGGACAGUGAGUCAGUCAGACACGUUAGGCAAUGGGACAGUCAGUCAGUCAGACACGUUAGGCAAUGGGACAGUCAGUCAGUCAGACACGUUAGGCAAUGGGACGGUCAGUCAGUCAGUCAGUCAGACAUGUUAGGCAAUGGGACAGUCAGUCAGUCAGACACGUUAGGCAAUGGGACAGUCAGUCCGUCAGACACGUUAGGCAAUGGGACAGUCAGUCAGUUAGUCAGUCAGACACGUUAGGCAAUGGGACAGUCAGUCAGUCAGUCAGAUACGUUAGGCAAUGGGACGGUCAGUCAGUCAGACACAUUAGGCAAUGGGACGGUCAGUCAGUCAGUCAGACACAUUAGGCAAUGGGACAGUCACUCAGUCAGUCAGACACGUUAGGCAAUGGGAUGGUCAGUCAGUUAGUCAGUCAGACACGUUAGGCAAUGGGACAGUCAGUCCGUCAGACACGUUAGGCAAUGGGACAGUCAGUCAGUUAGUCAGUCAGACACGUUAGGCAAUGGACAGUCAGUCAGUCAGACAGACACGUUAGGCAAUGGGACGGUCAGUCAGUUAGACACGUUAGGCAAUGGGUCAGUCAGUCAGUCGACAUGUUAUUAUUAGGGUCUACAGUUUACCUCCGCCCCCUUGGUCUAUCCCUCUGACCUGAGGUACGUAGAGGAGUCUACAGUCCAUUACUAAUCAAACAUCGUCUCUCUGUCUGUCUCUCCUUAGGCAUGUGACAUAGAGCCCAAUCAGAGUGACAGAGACCCUUUUUGGAGUGUUGCCAUCGAGAGGAGGGGACUCCCUGUCCAGACACCCAGGCGCCCCCCCAACAAACACACACACACACACACACACACACACACACACACACACACACACACACACACACACACACACACACAAACUCCAGGAGUGCUGUGAACAGGGACAGUCAAAGUGGCUGUCAGAAGUACUGAACAACUUCAUCUCAAGGCUGCGUCCCAAUAGUAUAAGACAUUGUCAUCUCCUCAUCUCCUUUCCUCUUCCUCAUCUCCUUUCCUUCAUGAGCUGAUCUGUUUGUACUGGAUAUGUUAAAUAGGUUCGUUUACACAAUUAGAAUGGGCAAAUGUGAAAUAGCACCUCAUGUCCUAUUGCACUAUAUAACAUUGGGUAUUAUUUCUGACACAGCCCUAGUUUAUAAACUUUUACAAGUCAUGGAGGAGACUAGGGGAGGAUAUUAGGAAGGAGAUUAAGGAAAUUAAGCUUUGUAAAAGUAUUGGGACACUGUCAGACAGACAAACACCAUCUCACAUACUAUGCGUCCUUUAUACAAAACUUGAGCUGGAAGAGUAUUUAAGAAAUGGCUUUUUAUAAUAGAAGUAUAUUUGUAAUUUUAUAGAGCUGGUCAUUGUACAUUUAUCAAUAAUACUUGUUUGUGAUAUAUAUUUGUAUCUACAUGUAAAUAAUAAUUGUUUCAGAUUCUAUUGCAUUGGCAUUAAAACGCUUAUAUGAUGGGUUUUAGGUUGGUCACUCAUUGACUGGAGUUAAGAUGUGUUGAUGCUUUUAAAGAAUGUGAAAGAAAAAGUGGAUUAACUCUGAAAACUGGAAUCCAACAAAAUGUAUUUAAUACAGCUAAUGUCUAUUGUCUAUAAGAGAUCAUAUUAAAGUUAAAUAUUAUUCUUUUAAAA